AGAUGUUGAUCAUUCUCAGCUAAUUUCCUGCAUUCCAAUCUCCAUCUCAGAAUCCAAAGGAAGUAGAUUCAACCUUUGACAUAUUAUAUCUAUGACGGCAUCCAAGAGUUUCCACAAUGCUGGAUGGUCACUCUCUCUGUGACCCCAGAAAAUAUCACCGGAUAUAGGAAAUAACCAGAUUUUGAAACCAGAGAAAGUGGCAUUUCUUCUGGGACCAUGUGUGAGUGUUUUUGGAGGAGAGGUUGGGCAUAAAUGAUGUAGUGAAUUCUCAUUAA